rnacentral:rRNA from 1 species
CAGGACGAACGCUGGCGGCGCGCCUAACACAUGCAAGUCGAACGGAGCUUGCACUUCUGAAGUUUUCGGAUGGACGAGGUACAAGCUUAGUGGCGAACGGGUGAGUAACACGUGAAGAACCUGCCCUUCAGUGGGGGACAACAGUUGGAAACGACUGCUAAUACCGCAUAAGACCACAGUACCGCAUGGUACAGUGAUCAAAGGAUUUAUUCGCUGAAGGAUGGCUUCGCGUCCGAUUAGGUAGUUGGUGAGGUAACGGCCCACCAAGCCUACGAUCGGUAGCCGGACUGAGAGGUUGAUCGGCCACAUUGGGACUGAGACACGGCCCAGACUCCUACGGGAGGCAGCAGUGGGGAAUAUUGCACAAUGGAGGAAACUCUGAUGCCAGCGACGCCGCGUGAGGGAAGAAGGUCUUCGGAUUGUAAACCUCUGUCUUCAGGGACGAUAAUGACGGUACCUGAGGAGGAAGCACCGGCUAACUACGUGCCAGCCGCUGC